GACGGAAGAGAGCGUUAAUCGGAAUUACUGGGCGUAAAGCGCCUUUAAGCGGUUCGCUAAGUCUGAUGUGAAAGCCCCGGGCUCAACCUGGGAACUGCAUUGGAAACUGGCGAGCUUGAGUGUGGCAGAGGGGGGUGGAAUUCCACGUGUAGCAGUGAAAUGCGUAGAGAUGUGGAGGAACACCGAUGGCGAAGGCAGCCCCCUGGGCUGACGCUGACGCUCAGGCACGAAAGCGUGGGGAGCAAACAGGAUUAGAUACCCUGGUAGUCCACGCCCUAAACGAUGUCAACUGGGUGUUGGGGGAGCGAUUCCUCAGUACCGUAGCUAACGCGUGAAGUUGACCGCCUGGGGAGUACGGCCGCAAGGUUA
rnacentral:rRNA from 1 species